GGGCAUCUUCAUCUCUCUUCUCAUUAAAUCCAAAGGAAGAAUGGGUGCAUACUGACACGUAAGCAAUGGAAACUUAAAAAGUGACCAUAUCACCGACGAACCAGAUCUUCCAAAUCUUCCACGUCAGCAUAUAGUUCAACCACAAGUUACCAACCAUUGCUAAACUGCAUCUCCAUGCCAAGACAUGUGAACGUGCCACCAAGAUGGCAGCCCCACGUUGUUUUGUGUUAGCCACGUGAUGCUUUUUUCCCUCCC
rnacentral:lncRNA from 1 species